rnacentral:rRNA from 1 species
UACGUAGGGAGCAAGCGUUGUCCGGAAUCAUUGGGCGUAAAGCGCGUGUAGGCGGCUUGGUAAGUCUGCUCUGAAAGCCCGGGGCUCAACCCCGGGAGGCGGGUGGAUACUGCUGAGCUCGAGUCCGGAAGAGGCGAGUGGAAUUCCUGGUGUAGCGGUGAAAUGCGCAGAUAUCAGGAGGAACACCGGUGGCGAAGGCGGCUUCCUGGACCGAUACUGACGCUGAGGCGCGAAAGCUAGGGGAGCAAACAGG